rnacentral:rRNA from 1 species
AUACGGUGGGUGCAAGCGUUAUCCGGAAUCAUAGGGUUUAAAGGGUCCGUAGGCGGACUAUUAAGUCAGAGGUGAAAUCCCACAGCUCAACUGUGGAACUGCCUUUGAUACUGGUAGUCUUGAGUUAUAUGGAAGUAGAUAGAAUGUGUAGUGUAGCGGUGAAAUGCAUAGAUAUUACACAGAAUACCGAUUGCGAAGGCAGUCUACUACGUAUAUACUGACGCUAAGGGACGAAAGCGUGGGGAGCGAACAGGAUUAGAAACCCUAGUAGUCC